rnacentral:rRNA from 1 species
UGGGGAAUAUUGGACAAUGGGCGCAAGCCUGAUCCAGCCAUGCCGCGUGAGUGAUGAAGGCCUUAGGGUUGUAAAGCUCUUUCAGCGGGGAAGAUAAUGACAUUACCCGCAGAAGAAGCCCCGGCUAACUUCGUGCCAGCAGCCGCGGUAAUACGAAGGGGGCAAGCGUUGUUCGGAAUCACUGGGCGUAAAGCGCGCGUAGGCGGAUCGAUAAGUCAGGGGUGAAAGCCCGAGGCUCAACCUCGGAACUGCCUUUGAUACUGUCGAUCUGGAGUCCGGGAGAGGUGAGUGGAACUCCUAGUGUAGAGGUGAAAUUCGUAGAUAUUAGGAAGAACACCAGUGGCGAAGGCGGCUCACUGGCCCGGUACUGACGCUGAUGUGCGAAAGCGUGGGGAGCAAACAGG